UACUCUUGCAAGUUGCUAGAAUAUCUUCCAAUAAUUUUCAUAUCGAUACAUGUGAAUCUUUUUAAACGAAGCGGAAUCUAAGCAAAAAUAUGAAGAAAGUGGAAAAUCGCUUAAAGUCACUGGUCGAAAACCAUCCACUAUGCAGAUGGACAGAUAAAUUUCGCGUCACUUGAUAGUACUAUCGUAUGACUACGAACUAUUGACACUAGUUGAAAGUGAAAUGUAACGGCUGAUGAAAAAAAAUUGAAAAAGAUAGAGAUACGUAAGUAUUAGCAUUAGGUUGGCAUAAAAGUUUCUUUCGUUUUGUGAGGAAAUAAUAAAUGUACAUUUUUUUGUAUCAUAUUAUUGUAUUGAAUUAUGUAUGAUCUUUUUGUAGUAAUAGAAUCCAUUUUAUUUUAUUCGUACAGAAUUCAUUAAUAAUAACAUUAUAUUUCCUUAUAAAACUAAAGAAACUUUUGGGACAAACUAACGCAUAUAAAUACCUUUUCACAGCCACUGUAUAAGAUUAUAAAAGAUACUGAUAUACAGGAUAUUGUUAGCUGUAGCUGCACAGCCACCACGCACUCAGCAUCGCAAAUAUCGAAAGCCCUGAAGAAAAUUUGAAGAAGAAAUGCUGUAAUUUUAUAAAACUGAAUUCUAAUCGACGAGACGAGUAAACGUGUGACAGAUAUCGUAGAAUAGAAAAAAAAGUGUGUAAUAGGCAAAAAAAGAAAUGUUUAAUAUAAAUUUUACUUAGAAUUCAUACACGCAAAGGAAGCUGUCGGAACAGAUUUAAUUCCCGUUCAUUAGAUUCGUCGCCUUACUGAAUACGAUAUUCUCGAGUUCGCGGUUCAAGGGAAAGCAAAGAAUUCUGGUGGGGUCGAGAGCAACGUUCAAGAUGAAAUCCUCGGCCCUUGUUAAAUCGUCUCGGUCGGGGUCGAACAAUGCGUUCGCCAGCAUCCUCGUUUCUCGGUGAUUGCACAUAAAGCUGCCAUUAUUAGAACUUCAGUGAGCGGGAAAUCGAAUAAAUUUGAAGUUGAAGAAAGUAAGAGAAAGUCGAAACGAAGCAAACGCGAUUCCUUAAGCCACGAUGUUCAGGGAUUUUAUAAUCUUUCCGGUGACGUCUUCGACGUGGAAUACCCAGAAGCUGAGAAAUUGAUUCUGUACGAUGAAAAAGACGAUGUCUCCACAGAAUACAACGAUA